UCAAAUAACGUGAGGCUGGAGCGGAAACACAUAAUAGAAGUAACUCAGAUUCUCCUUAAUCUUCUUAGAAAAGAAAAAAAGAUUCCCCUUAAUCUAAAACCGAUUUUCUCUUAAGCCUCGUCAUUUUUUGGUCAGUUAGCGAAGACUCAUCAGUUCCCUUAGUUGGCCAACCCCUUUUCUUCGCUUCCAGAGAGAGAGAGAGAGAAUCGGGUGUGCCUUUCGGCAUCAGAAACGAGGGAUGAAAAGGGGUUAGGACUUAUGAGAGAGAUGUGGAGAAGAGAAAAGGCAAGAAAAGAAAAGACUGUUGAAAGGAGUGGAGGCAUAUACAUAUAGCAUAGAGGGGGGGUUUCAUCAGAAACGAGGUGAAUGGGGAAGAAUAACUAUGAUGAUCCUUUGAUCCUUCUAAAUAUACUACUACCCAUGUCAAUGAACCAUCCAAUCUCUGAUUAUUUAUCCGUAUUUUUUGAGUCUCUCUCAGUCUGAAACCACCUCUCUUUCACUUUCCUUAUCAAUUAUUAUUAUUAAUUACACCCCCAUCCCUCUCUCUCUCUCUCUCUCUCUCUUAUUUACUGUACUUGAUCCAUCACAUCUUAAAUAGAACCCAUCUGCCCCCUCUCCUUUCUCCCAUACACAUUAUUACCCACUCUCUCCCCUUCUGCGUGUGUAUAUAUGAGUUUGAAUGUGUGUGUGUGUGUGUGUGGAUCUUCAAAUGGUGAAUACAAGGACUGUGCUUUGCUUUCAUGUGGGUUUAGCAAAGGGUUUCUAACAAAGUUUAUUGGCAUUCUGUCCACCUCCAUCAAUAUAAGAAAAACAUUGUCCUUGUAUCUCUCCCUCUCUCUCUCUCUCAUGGAGGUGGGCAGACUGCCAAGUGAGCUAUGUUGGCUUCUCUUUGUAAGACCCUCGUGAUAUAUGAUGAUAUUUCGCCUCCAGCUUUAGCUGUUCUCAACUGUUGUGUGAUAGAGACCAAGUGGCAGUUUCCGGACUUUGAUGCUUAUCCACUUGAGAGCACCCGAACUUUACUCUUGUUUUGUUCCAUGUUGUGUACUACAAUUUCUCCUUGUGUAAUCUAUGUUGCAGGUUGAGAUAUCUUGUCUUUUUAUAUGGACUUGAUUACAAACAUCAUGCACGGACUCUUCGGUUUCUGUUUGAUCAUAUAUAUGUAGAUCUUGUUUGGCUGCAAUUUGGGAACCCGUAGUUUUCUGACCUUUUUUGGUUUCUCUCACCAAACUUUUUCAAGAGGGUCUUGUUUUUCACUCUAAUUUCUUGUUUGUAUUCUGGCCUAGGGUUUUUUUUUUUUUUUUUUAGUCUCUUUUUUUUUGUGCAUCUAAUUCAGGGAAGCUUCAAGAGAGGGGGAAAAAAAAGCUUUUGAAGGAUGAAGUCAUUAAGGUCUACCUGUUCAUUUUACACAGGAAAAAAAAAA